rnacentral:lncRNA from 1 species
AAUUAAAGAUAAAUAAAAUACAUGAAAAGUCAGAGAAUCCUGAAUAUACACAUGAAUGAGCACUGGACAUCUCUGUAUUUUUAGAGAAGCACUAGAAUACAGCAAAAUAAUGGCAUAAUUUUACAUCACUAAGAAAGUUUAUCAAACCCACCAGGCAUGUUGUAUUAGUUCAUUUUCACACUGGUAUAAAAAACUACUUGAGACUGGGUAGUUUACAAGGAAAAGAGGUAUAGUUGGCUCACAGUUCUGCAUGGCUGGGGAGGCCACAGGAAACUUACAAUCAUGGUGGAAGGUGAAGAGGAAGCAAGGCACGUCUCACAGCCCAGCAGGAGAGAGAUAGAGGAGGGGAAGUGACACAUACUUUUAAACCAUCAGCGGUUGUUAGAACUCACUCACUAUCAUGAGAACAACAUGGGGAAACUGCCCCCAUGAUCCAAUCACCUCUCACCUGGUCCCUCCCUUGACAUGUGGGGAUUAGAAUUUGAGAUGAUAUUUAGGUGGGGCACAAAACCAAUCUAUAUCACAUGUCCAGUUCUGUCCUGGAGUUGUUUCAGGGAUCCAGUGUGUCCUGUUGAUAGAAACAGUGACACCAAGUUCAUAUUAUCAGUUGUAGUUGACACCAUGCAAAGCCAAGAGAUCUCAAGUGAGAUUUAGUGUGUAUGUUGUGUCUAAUGAAGUCACACACUCAGAGCAAGUGAAUAGGGAAAAGUUCAUUAUCUACACUGUAGAGACGUGUCUGCUGAGAGCAG